UACGUAGGGUCCGAGCGUUGUCCGGAAUUAUUGGGCGUAAAGGCUCGUAGGCGGCCAACUAAGUCAGACGUGAAAUCCCCAGGCUCAACCUGGGAACUGCGUCUGAUACUGGAUGGCUUGAAUCCGGGAGAGGGAUGCAGAAUUCCUGGUGUAGCGGUGGAAUGCGCAGAUAUCAGGAGGAACACCGGUGGCGAAGGCGGGUCUCUGGGCAGUAACUGACGCUGAGGAGCGAAAGCGUGGGGAGCGAACAGG
rnacentral:rRNA from 1 species